rnacentral:rRNA from 1 species
AGAGAGAGUAAACAGUACGUGAAACCGCAUGCAGGUAAACGGGUGGCGUCAAGCUGCAAGCCCAGAGGAUUCAGCUGGCUAGGGUGUUGUGUAUGCGCCUGGCGCAUCUAUCAGUCAGAGUAAGAUUGCGUAGUCCACUGGAUAACGGUGGGCCCGGCCGCAAGGUUGGGACAUGUGUACCGGAUGGUAGCCGGAGCAUACUACGCGUCUAUGGGACUGCCUAGUCAGUGCACUUUCUCUGUGGUGAACACCACGACCGGUGGUAUUGCCAGUCUGCUGUAGUCAAGUCGUGUUCAGUAGGUUCUCGUAAUCAAUUGGAUGCGAUCACAGGCAAACUCAGUAAACGGCGUAGGGGCGUUUCGGCGUCUCUGCGUGUUAUCGGCUACUGGUUGUCAACGGGCCGGCCUGAUGAUUGUUGUAAUCGUCAUCGGGUGGUCCGGUGGGCUAUGGUGGUAUGAAUAACUGUGCAAGGCACCGGAGUUCUCGACCUCAAAUGCAUCCUGCGCACACAUUACAAGUGGAGCGGGGUGCCAUUGCGUCCUGCCUAUUGUUAGGUCUGAUUGUCGUGUCGCCUGCGCAAAGUGGGCCCGGCAGUGGCCUGAUAUGGGAUGGGGCGUGGAUGGUGCCUCCAGUGCGGGGUGUAGUGGGUGAAACAGUCAGUGGUGUAGUGGUAGACGAGCUACCCGACCCGUCUUGAAACACGGACCA